rnacentral:rRNA from 1 species
UACAGAGGGCGCGAGCGUUGUCCGGAAUCACUGGGCGUAAAGGGUGCGUAGGUGGCGCUGUAAGUCGGGUGUGAAAUUUCGGAGCUUAACUCCGAAACUGCAUUCGAUACUGCGGUGCUUGAGGACUGGAGAGGAGACUGGAAUUCAUGGUGUAGCAGUGAAAUGCGUAGAGAUCAUGAGGAAGACCAGUGGCGAAGGCGGGUCUCUGGACAGUUCCUGACACUGAGGCACGAAGGCCAGGGGAGCAAACGGG